rnacentral:ribozyme from 1 species
UUCUUCACCUCCCCCCCCUAUCUAUCUCCCUUCCUUCCCCCGACUAGGGGGGAGGAGUUCCUUUUUGUCUUCUAUUCCCCCCAGUAUGAGUUAAUAAAGCUGUUUUAUUAC